rnacentral:misc_RNA from 1 species
AAAAUAUAAUGCUUGAUUUCUACUUGUUAGUUCAUGUUAAGAUGGGAUUUUCAAGUUCUUGAAGGAAGCAAUGAUCAACAAGAACACACACACGAUAGGAAGAAUAUGGAGGAUGAAACCAGGCUAUGAUAACCUGUAUUAAAGGAAGUUGAGAAGGGGAAAUGACUUUAUGAAUUAGAGAGAUAUUCACUUCUACAGUUCAUUCCCUCUUAAAUAAUCUUGAUUUUCAUGGUCAAAUUUAGGUGAUGCACCUAACCUUGUGGAGGAACUCAUUUCUGUCAUCAAGGAGAUAUCUCCUCUUUCUCAAUCAUUCCAGUCACUUGUGCUACCUAAAGAAUCUGAUUCAUUUGUGGAUAAGUAAUCAUCUUCAAUUUCUGAGUGUUCUUUAUCAAUAGAAUCAACUUGGGCGUCUGAAACACCUGGAGAAAAUCCAUCAGAAGACAAACCAUCGCUUUCUUUUUUCGGUUUCUGAGAUUCCCUAGCUGGACUGUCCAAGAUGGAAAGGGGAUUCCUAUUAUUUGGAUCACCAUAAAGUGCAAUGUGCCUAUAAUACAGCUCUAAUUCCUUUUCCGCAAUGGCUAUGAAAUGCCUCACGGACUCGAGCGACUGCUCACACUUGGAUUUUUCCAAUGCCCUUUUUUUGGACAAUGUAUCUAUUGGCGACAUGACUUCUGGCUGCACAUAGUUCUUCCCUCGAUAAAAUAUAAUGGUGUCAUCUUCAAUAAACUGUAUGGGGAUCCCACCACUCAACCUGGCAAUUUCCUGAGCAUAUUCCUGUACUUGGCCAGGUUUGCUAUUCUUGCAAAUAACCUUUACGGUUUCAUGCUUCUUCCAAUGCAUAUGCAUAUUAAGAAUGACGCCUCCAAAUAUUCCUCUUCUGCCAACUGGCACGUAAUUGGAUUUUUUUUGGGCCAUCUUUUUGAUAAAAAAUCGUUCCUCGCCACUCAGAUCGUGUGGUUUGACCUCAGGACCCUGAAUUUUAGGAACUUCAUACCGCUUAAGUCUUUCAAUGAGUAAGGCUUCCUUGAUCUUGGCCCUCUCAAGUUUGUACUUGAUUCUUUCUUCAGCAUUAGCAAAUUUCUGCUUCUUCUUCCUCUUGACAGUAAGCCUACGCGGGUCCCUCUUAUUAGCCUCUUUUCUCUUCUGCUUCUCUCUCAUUCUCUGCAUUUUCAGCCUCUUCUUCGUCUGCCAUUUCUCCUUCUUUGGAGGAUCAACCUCGUGCGUUUCAAACUUGACUUUCCCCUCUGACAACACCAGGUUUACAGUACCAUGGCUCAAAUUUCUAAACACCCAGCAUGGUUUUGGCAGAUUCAGUGAAAUUACGUGUCUAGAUGGAAAGAAAAAUGAUUCCGAGGAAUGAAAAAUUGGCCUGUUAGGCACAGAAAAAAGAUCCCCUCAAUUAUCCAACAAUCAAGAAUCAAUUUUGGGAGAGGGGGGAAGAGUGUACCUGAGAACGAAGGGGUUGGAAGGUGAUGGUGGCUUAACAAGUGAAGAAGCCUUUCUCAAGCUACGAAACACAGCUACUGCCAUGCCAGUAGGAGGAAGAGGGAGGUAGCAAAAGAAAAAAAGCUACACAAGUCAAAAAUCAAAAUGGGCUAUUCAGAAUGCAGACCUCAAUAACGAAACUGUAACAUUGCGGAAGAAUGGGUGAUCAACUGAUCUUUAUAGAAAGAGAAUUCCGCUUGUAGGGUUGUGGUUCAACAGAAUAACCGAACAUAUCGUUGUUGGGUUUUUGGGCCACUCUUCUCGAGUCUCAAUAGUUUCAAGAAAAGAAAAACCCUAACUCUCUAAGCCCUAUUAGAUCAAUAAUUUGGGGAAAUUUACAAAUCCUAAUCUUUCUCAAGAAUCAAACCUCUGCUGCUUCUGCUAUUCACUGGUUGCACACUUGAACCUUGGAAGGCUGUCUGCACCUCCACUUGGCUUAGCGUAAGCUUUUCCUUCGUCAACUGUUUUAGCGAAAAACGGUCUAGUCCACCUAUACGACACCGUUUUUACUCGUUACAAACAGAGCGGAGGCUGAGCCUUCGCUUCUCAGUCCACAGAGCAGAGCAGCCCACUUUUGUUUUGCAUACUCUUUCUCGGGCUUUGCUAGUCAAGUCUUGUGUCGUUGAAAGACGAUUAGGAGUUAGCUUGAAACCUCCAUUCUCUGCCUGUAGCUGUGGUUUUGUUUAACAGAUAUUGUGUUUUUGGGAAAGAUGAAGAAAAUGAUAGCCUUAGGAUUCGAGGGUUCGGCCAACAAGAUUGGAGUUGGAGUUGUGACCUUAGAUGGGACGAUUUUAUCAAACCCGAGGCAUACUUACAUCACCCCUCCUGGCCAAGGAUUCUUGCCUCGUGAAACUGCCCAACAUCAUUUGCAACAUGUGCUUCCGUUGGUUAAAUCUGCUUUGGAAACUGCCCAAGUAACCUCUGACGAAAUUGAUUGCCUCUGUUACACUAAGGGCCCUGGCAUGGGAGCACCCCUGCAAGUUUCUGCUAUUGUUGUUCGGGUUCUUUCACAGCUCUGGAAGAAGCCCAUUGUUGCUGUUAAUCACUGUGUUGCACAUAUUGAGAUGGGUAGGAUUGUUACUGGGGCGGAUGACCCUGUUGUGUUGUAUGUUAGUGGUGGGAAUACGCAGGUUAUUGCUUACAGUGAAGGGCGAUAUCGAAUCUUUGGGGAGACUAUUGAUAUUGCUGUUGGGAAUUGUUUGGAUCGAUUUGCCAGGGUUUUACAACUCUCCAACGAUCCUGCUCCUGGAUAUAAUAUAGAGCAGCUUGCUAAGAAAGGAGAACAAUUUAUAGACCUUCCUUACGUUGUCAAAGGAAUGGAUGUUUCUUUUAGUGGCAUAUUGAGCUUUAUUGAAGCUACCACAGAGGAGAAGCUUAAAAAUAAUGAAUGUACUCCUGCAGACUUGUGCUACUCCCUACAGGAAACUGUGUUUGCUAUGCUUGUUGAGAUCACAGAACGGGCAAUGGCACAUUGUGACAAGAAAGAUGUUCUUAUUGUUGGUGGUGUGGGAUGCAAUGAACGGUUGCAAGAGAUGAUGAAAACAAUGUGCUCUGAGAGGGGUGGAACAUUGUAUGCAACUGAUGACAGGUAUUGCAUUGACAAUGGAGCAAUGAUUGCGUACACUGGUCUCCUGGCUUUUGCUCAUGGCACAACAACACCACUAGAGGAAUCAACUUUCACCCAGAGGUUCCGCACUGAUGAAGUGCAUGCAGUCUGGAGAGAGAAAGAGUCAGCUAGCGUGAAUGUUACUGGAGAAUAGGUCCUAAACCAAGCAAACCUAAGGUUUGCCUUUUUGCUGUUGCUAUAAGUAUGAGUACUUGGGGUAACUUUACAACAACAACUGCUAUAUGGAUCUUUUUUGUUUACCAUUCAGCUCUGUUAUACACCAGGUCCGUAUCAAUACCUAUGUGCUUGCUUGAUGUAACUAUAGCAAUAAAAAAUUUCAGUAUAUACCAACCAAGUGGGACUCCUGGAGAAGUGGAGAUCAAUGUAUUAUUCUCUGGUAGCUAGUUUUGUAAUUGUAAGGCAUAUUUGCAGCUACUCAUCAAAAGGGAAUUGUUAUGUUCACAUCCAUUGCCUGCCAAGUAUAUAUUAUAUUAAAA